UCUCCGUAGGUGAACCUGCGGAGGGCUCAUUACUGAGUGAGGGCUCACGCCCGACCUCCAACCCUUUGUGAACACAUCUUGUUGCUUCGGGUGCGACCCUGCCGGCACUCUGUCGCCGGGCGCCCCCGAAGGUCUCCAAACACUGCAUCUCUGCGUCGGAGUUUAAAACAAAGUAAACAAAACUUUCAACAACGGAUCUCUUGGUUCUGGCAUCGAUGAAGAACGAAGC
rnacentral:misc_RNA from 1 species